rnacentral:lncRNA from 1 species
AAGUACCAUGGAAUGUGUAUGGGUGGGUUGGGCAGGUGGGUCAGGGGAGGUUUUGUCUUGCUGGGAGCUAGUUGUAGGGGAAGGCGUAGGAAGGAAAGGUUUUGCUGAUGAGGAAUUGCAAUAGAGGUCAGUAAGUAAUCUGGUCCGAACAGGUGCAGAGUCGUUAAUGCUAAAAGGGCUUGGAGUGGGAUCGGUCAUAGGAGAAGGUGUUG